rnacentral:rRNA from 1 species
UACGUAGGUGGCAAGCGUUAUCCGGAUUUACUGGGUGUAAAGGGCGUGUAGGCGGGGACGCAAGUCAGAUGUGAAAACCACGGGCUCAACCUGUGGCCUGCAUUUGAAACUGUGUUUCUUGAGUACUGGAGAGGCAGACGGAAUUCCUAGUGUAGCGGUGAAAUGCGUAGAUAUUAGGAGGAACACCAGUGGCGAAGGCGGUCUGCUGGACAGCAACUGACGCUGAGGUUCGAAAGCGUGGGUAGCAAACAGG